ensembl:lncRNA
UAUCAAAGGACUAUUAACUAUUACUUACUAUACUAAGUUACUAUGCUACUGAAGUCUAUGGAAAGGAUGUCAGAAGUCCAGCGGGGAAACUGUUGAAUGGAAGUCCUCCAUAUCAUAUAGGGAAACUCCAAAACGUUUGAGUGUGCCUGGUCUGCCCAAACGGUUUUGCACGGAGUGACAGAAAACGUCCACGUCCAUCAGUGACCCUUGAGAUCCAAUGUUAGAGGCAACGGCUUGAGGGGGAGACUGUGUCCAUGUACGAUCAUUCAAGCCUUUCUGUUGAAUUCGAUGCUUUCCAUUCAACAAAGCGAAGUUUUAACGUGUUCCAGAGCGACAUAACAUCAUCACCCUUUCGUUUGACCUGUGGGUCGCGUUUAGGUUUAGGAGGUUGACGAAAACAGAACUUGAACUACUUUUGCACUACGCUCUGUUUGGGGGACGAACAGAGUGAACAGCAUGACCCUUUAAUCUGAAUCUAGACGUAUAUCUAGACGUAUUCAACCGUCCCUAUGAACGGUCCCACCUGACAGCCGAGUGGCGGACUAAUCCUCCCUAUACGCGGCUGUGAGUCCCAGCGACGAACAGACGCAGAACGCUAGAGACCCACGCUAAGGUGUUUGUCGUUUUCACUGUUGUCGCUACUUGUCUUUGACUGUAUAUAUAUAUAUAUAUAUAUAUAUAUACACACACGGUAUGCGGUACACCUGGUGACAGGAUGUUUACAGGUCCAGCGAAGACGGAGCAUGACCUCAUCACGACGAGGACGGACGCCUCGUCAUGUGACCGGGAGCAGCCUGGGCUAUAACCCCCACAACCCCUGACCCCAUCUGAUUAACCCAUCAAGCCAUACGGGCCAAACUUCCUUAGAGUAUCCUAUCUAUAGGGGCAUGCAAACACUAAAGAGCAUGUUUUGAUAUACAGCCUGCCAAGAACGACAUGUCGGUCUCUACCGUGGACCACGGCUACUGCUUGUGUUUUAUAACCUUGUCCUCUGAUACUUCGUAUUACCAUGGAUGCACUGUGCAUGCCGUGUGGUUGUGUGUCCCCAUGUUUACCUUUCUCCCCAUCAUGUUUCUAAGUCAUCGUUCAAAGGGUUGAUCAUUUUGUACUAUUUAUAUGAAGUCGGUGCACUUCACAUUACAAGCAGAACAUGAACAAAUAAAAAGCUGCAUGCAGCCGUAUAUAUUGAACAAAAAAUGAUAUUUUAUGUAUUUCCUCCUUCGAGUGACAUGAUCAAC